rnacentral:tRNA from 1 species
GGGCCUAUAGCAUAGUGGUAGUGCAUCCGCUUCGCAUGCGGAGGGUGGCAGUUCGAUUCUGCCUAGGUCCACCA